rnacentral:pre_miRNA from 1 species
UCUCAGCUCGGCAGGUAGCCCCCAGGCUGGGCUGGGCGAGUGUCUCUUAGAAAGGCUCACCCCCAAGCACCACCAGGAGC